CGGAAAAUGGAGGCUGCGCAUCGGGGAAUUAGCUCAAAUGGUAGAGCGCUCGCUUAGCAUGCGAGAGGUAGCGGGAUCGAUGCCCGCAUUCUCCAGCGAAGGGUUGUUUUCUUUCCUCAAACCUCUACUUUCACCCCUGCUGCGAAGGCAUGUUUUAACCCCAACAUAAAGCGUAGCGCGGAGCUCGCGGUGUCGCUUCUGGGAUAUACGGCUGUGAUUCAGCGGCUCUGCCCCUCCUUGGAGGACAAGCUCGACUUCCCGCGCGGCGGGUAACCUGCCCGACCAGCCCAGCCCGUGGCUCCGCCGUCGCCAGUGACAGCGGAGCCGGGCCCUUCCACUUGUCCUGCCUGUGCGUUAAUUCAACAACAACGUAACGAUUGUAGAGCGGGCUGAGCCGCGAACGUUUCCGAUUUAAGCAUAACCCUUACAAAACCCCUUAUCCUCCUCAUAGGCUGAGAGAGAGAGAGAAAAAAAAAAACUUUGAAGAAUGUUAAUGAUUUAGCCCAACAGCUCAUUAGCACCGUGAAAGCAGCUUUAAGAAGAGGGGAGAAGCAUUUCUGAACAACGACUUCAUGGUUUUGCUGCUGAGGGGGAACGUGGAUGCUUGGCUGUACCAAACCCACGAGUUAAUCCAGUUAGUUGAAACAAAAUGUUCAAGUUCAGUCUUCUAAUCUCAUUUCCAACGCUGAUCCUAUUAGCAUUUCUAAGGAAAAGCUGCUGGGGACUGAGAUGGGACCUCCACACCACCCCCUGUGGAAAGGGCAGGUUUGGGAUCACGGAAGGCAACAGAGGAGCCAGUGUGCACUGUGUUGAACCCAAAAACACCUGCAAACCAACCUGCUGUUUUGGUGCUGGCCAACGGACUCCAUUUUGCCCCUCCACAUCAAUCUCCAGAAAACACGUACAACUUUACUGUUGAGAUUUCAAUCCUUUUUCAUUUAGUUGAACGUCGUCAACGUGCUUACAGAUCAACCUUGAAGGACAUACGGGCAUCCACACGGGCAUGGUCUGACCAAAACUGCCCGUAAAUAAGAUCUGCCAAGACCUAUGCCUUGUUGCAUUCUACAGUCAUGAAAACCCAUUAUUUUAACAUGAGAAGCCUGACGUUUUCCCUUCAGGAUCUGAAGCUCCACAUACAAAGUGUAAAGCUUGAACUUCUUUUAUCUUCUGCUUCCUGAUAGUCCCGGUGAUAUCCAUCCUUGUCCUCUCCCUGCUGAGAGGAAAAUUUGCAGAGCAACAGAUAAUGCAUGGGAUAUACAGUACAGAAAGAAGAAAAGCAGUCUUGCAUUAAGUUACUGCAGGACUUCAUCUGUGCUUGCUGCAACUUCUUCCCUCAAAUUAUCACAGGAUUAUCUUUACCUACUUGCGUAGUUCACAGCUUCUUGCUUCACAUUUAGUUUGGAAGGCUCUUGUAAACAAACCACAUGCAGUGUGCAUUUGUAUUAAGGCAGCAGAGCCAAAG
ensembl:lncRNA